UAAUAAGUGUUUUAUGGCACUUUUUAAAUCCAUAUCCACCUUGUGUGCAAUGUCAGAUCGAUCUUCUUCAUGGAGAUCGACCAAACAUCAACCUUUAUCUUUUAACUCUUUGUCUGAAAAAUAUUAUGAAUAAACAAUUCAAAAUA
rnacentral:misc_RNA from 1 species